rnacentral:rRNA from 1 species
UACGGAGGGUGCAAGCGUUAUCCGGAUUCACUGGGUUUAAAGGGUGCGUAGGUGGGCAGGUAAGUCAGUGGUGAAUCUCCGGCUUAACCCGGAACUGCCGUUGAUACUAUCUGUCUUGAAUAUAGUGGAGGUGAGCGGAAUAUGUCAUGUAGCGGUGAAAUGCUUAGAUAUGACAUAGAACACCAAUUGCGAAGGCAGCUCACUACACGGUCAUUGACACUGAGGCACGAAAGCGUGGGGAUCAAACAGG